rnacentral:rRNA from 1 species
UACGGGGGGUGCAAGCGUUGUUCGGAAUCAUUGGGCGUAAAGCGCGUGUAGGCGGCUUGACAAGUCAGAUGUGAAAUCCCUGGGCUUAACCCAGGAAGUGCAUUUGAAACUGUCUGGCUCGAGUAAGGGAGAGGAAAGUGGAAUUCCUGGUGUAGAGGUGGAAUUCGUAGAUAUCAGGAGGAACACCGGUGGCGAAGGCGACUUUCUGGCCCUAUACUGACGCUGAGACGCGAGAGCUAGGGGCACGAACCGG